GAUGAACGCUGGCGGCGUGCCUAAUACAUGCAAGUCGAGCGAACAGACGAGGAGCUUGCUCCUCUGACGUUAGCGGCGGACGGGUGAGUAACACGUGGAUAACCUACCUAUAAGACUGGGAUAACUUCGGGAAACCGGAGCUAAUACCGGAUAAUAUAUUGAACCGCAUGGUUCAAUAGUGAAAGACGGUUUUGCUGUCACUUAUAGAUGGAUCCGCGCCGCAUUAGCUAGUUGGUAAGGUAACGGCUUACCAAGGCAACGAUGCGUAGCCGACCUGAGAGGGUGAUCGGCCACACUGGAACUGAGACACGGUCAAGACUCCUACGGGAGGCAGAAGUAGGGAAUCUUCCGCAAUGGGCGAAAGCCUGACGGAGCAACGCCGCGUGAGUGAUGAAGGUCUUCGGAUCGUAAAACUCUGUUAUUAGGGAAGAACAAAUGUGUAAGUAACUAUGCACGUCUUGACGGUACCUAAUCAGAAAGCCACGGCUAACUACGUG
rnacentral:rRNA from 1 species